rnacentral:piRNA from 1 species
UAAAGCUAUCGCUGGCAUUCUGCUCUGGAC